rnacentral:rRNA from 1 species
GACAGAGGGUGCAAACGUUGCUCGGAGUUACUGGGCGUAAAGCGCGUGUAGGCGGCCAGGUAGGUCCGAUGUGAAAACUGGAGGCUCAACCUCCAGCUGUCAUUGGAAACCAUCUGGCUAGAGUCCGGAAGAGGAGAGUGGAAUUCCUGGUGUAGCGGUGAAAUGCGCAGAUAUCAGGAAGAACACCGAUGGCGAAGGCAGCUCUCUGGGACGGUACUGACGCUGAGACGCGAAAGCGUGGGGAGCGAACAGG